rnacentral:rRNA from 1 species
AACGAACGCUGGCGGCAUGCCUAACACAUGCAAGUCGAACGGGAUCCUAGCUUGCUAGGUGAGAGUGGCGGACGGGUGAGUAACACGUGGGAAUCUGCCUUUUUGGUUCGGGAUAACCGCGGGAAACUGCGGCUAAUACCGAAUGCCCUCGAGAGAGGAAAGAUUUAUCGCCAGAAGAGGAGCCCGCGUCCGAUUAGGUAGUUGGUGGGGUAAAGCCUACCAAGCCGACGAUCGGUAGCUGGUCUGAGAGGAUGAUCAGCCACACUGGGACUGAGAUACGGCCCAGACUCCUACGGGAGGCAGCAGUGGGGAAUAUUGGACAAUGGGGGCAACCCUGAUCCAGCAAUGCCGCGUGAGUGAUGAAGGCCUUAGGGUU